GCCGGGCACGAUGGCUUGCACCUAUAAUCCCAGGGCUUUGGGAGGCUGAGAUAGGAGGAUUGCUUGAGCCCAGGAAUUCAAGACUGCAGUGAGCCAUGGUCAUCCCACUGCACUCUAGCCUGGGCAACAAAGCGAGACCCUGUCUCUA
ensembl:misc_RNA Metazoa_SRP Metazoan signal recognition particle RNA